UGGGGAAUAUUGCACAAUGGGCGCAAGCCUGAUGCAGCGACGCCGCGUGGGGGAUGACGGCCUUCGGGUUGUAAACUCCUUUCGCCAGGGACGAAGCUUUUUGUGACGGUACCUAGAUAAGAAGCACCGGCUAACUACGUGCCAGCAGCCGCGGUAAUACGUAGGGUGCGAGCGUUGUCCGGAAUUACUGGGCGUAAAGGGCUCGUAGGUGGUUUGUCGCGUCGUCUGUGAAAUUCCGGGGCUUAACUCCGGGCGUGCAGGCGAUACGGGCAUAGCUUGAGUACUGUAGGGGUAACUGGAAUUCCUAGUGUAGCGGUGAAAUGCGCAGAUAUCAGGAGGAACACCGAUGGCGAAGGCAGGUUACUGGGCAGUUACUGACGCUGAGGAGCGAAAGCAUGGGUAGCGAACAGG
rnacentral:rRNA from 1 species